CAGCAGAGAGAAGCGGAUUACUGUAGUUGAGAUAUUGUUUAUUUAGGAAUAAUUAAGAGUCGCAUGAAAAGGACAAUGACCCAACACACUUCCAGGCUGUGUAAGGGCUAUUUGACCAAGGAGGAGAGUCAUGGAGUGCUGCAUCAGAUGACCUGGUCUCCACAAUCCCCCGACCUCAACCCAAUUGAGAUGGUUUGGGAUAAGACCGCAGAGUGAAAGAAAAGCAACCAACAAGUGCUCAGCAUAUGUGGGAACUCCUUCAAGACUGUUGGAAAAGCAUUCCAGGUGAAGCUGGUUGAGAGAAUGCUAAGAGUGUGCAAAUCUGUCAUCAAGGCAAAAGGUGGCUACUUUGAAGAAUCUGAAAUAUAAAAUAUAUUUUGAUUUGUUAAACACUUUUUUGGUUACUACAUGAUUCCAUAUGUGUUAUUUCAUAGUUUUGAUGUCUUCACUAUUAUUCUACAAUGUAGAAAAUAGUCAAAUUAAAGAAAAACCCUUGAAUGAGUAGGUGUGUCCAAACUUUUGACUGGUACUGUAUAUAUACAACUCAAGAAAAUAACCUUUUUUGACUGCAGCUAGGCCAUUCCACUAAUUCGGUGCCUUUUAAGAAGUGUAAGGUGGUUAUUUCACCUAUUAAAACAAUUAUGUCAUAAAGAGCAAAUGUUCAACUUAAUAAAAAAAUUGUUUUCCCAUCUAAAUUGGUUAAAUAAAAUUUAAAAAAUGCUAUAGUAAAUGCCUUUUAAGUGCCAAAUAAAGUAACAUGGUUGAUUAUAAGGUUGAUGAGUUCAUGUUAAAUCAGCCAUAAAUCCCCUUGUGACAGGGUGAAUGGAAGCUUGUGUGCAACAGGGAGUGGUAAUUAAAUGCAAGCUUCACAAAAAAAAAUGUAAUUGUUAAAACAAUUGUAGCCUGUCUACAGUAGGUUGGUUGGAUGUGUUAAUUAUGAUUAAAUAUCCUC
ensembl:lncRNA